GACUGCGUAGCUCAGUUGGCAGAGCAUUGAGCUGGUAUUGCAAAGGUCGUAGGUUCAAUUCCCACCGUGGCCA
rnacentral:tRNA from 1 species